rnacentral:rRNA from 1 species
AGAGUUUGAUCCUGGCUCAGGACGAACGCUGGCGGCGCGCCUAACACAUGCAAGUCGAACGGAGCUUAGAGAGCUUGCUUUUUAAGCUUAGUGGCGAACGGGUGAGUAACGCGUGAGUAACCUGCCCUAGAGUGGGGGACAACAGUUGGAAACGACUGCUAAUACCGCAUAAGCCCACGGUACCGCAUGGUACUGAGGGAAAAGGAUUUAUUCGCUUUAGGAUGGACUCGCGUCCAAUUAGCUAGUUGGUGAGGUAACGGCCCACCAAGGCGACGAUUGGUAGCCGGACUGAGAGGUUGAACGGCCACAUUGGGACUGAGACACGGCCCAGACUCCUACGGGAGGCAGCAGUGGGGGAUAUUGCACAAUGGGGGAAACCCUGAUGCAGCGACGCCGCGUGGAGGAAGAAGGUUUUCGGAUUGUAAACUCCUGUCGUUAGGGACGAUAAUGACGGUACCUAACAAGAAAGCACCGGCUAACUACGUGCCAGCAGCCGCGGUAAAACGUAGGGUGCAAGCGUUGUCCGGAAUUACUGGGUGUAAAGGGAGCGCAGGCGGGAAGACAAGUUGGAAGUGAAAACCAUGGGCUCAACCCAUGAAUUGCUUUCAAAACUGUUUUUCUUGAGUAGUGCAGAGGUAGAUGGAAUUCCCGGUGUAGCGGUGGAAUGCGUAGAUAUCGGGAGGAACACCAGUGGCGAAGGCGGUCUACUGGGCACCAACUGACGCUGAGGCUCGAAAGCAUGGGUAGCAAACAGGAUUAGAUACCCUGGUAGUCCAUGCCGUAAACGAUGAUUACUAGGUGU